GACGGAGGAUGCAAGUGUUAUCCGGAAUCACUGGGCGUAAAGCGUCUGUAGGUGGUUCGAAAAGUCCACUGUUAAAAAUUGAGGCUUAACUUCAAAGAUGCCGUGGAAACUUUCAAACUAGAGUAUGGUAGGGGUAGAGGGAAUUUCCAGUGGAGCGGUGAAGUGCGUAGAUAUUGGAAAGACCACCGAUGGCGAAGGCACUCUACUGGGCCAUUACUGACACUGAGAGACGAAAGCUAGGGGAGCAAAUGGG
rnacentral:rRNA from 1 species